rnacentral:lncRNA from 1 species
CUUCUUCCUGGUAGGACCAAGUUCUUGCAGGACCGCCAGGGCCAGAAGCUGCUGCUGGUAGACAACAGGAACAAAAGUGCCUUCUUCAGGGAAAGACGAGAGUGCAUCCACGUGGAUUUGAACUGCGAAGGGCACCUGAUCAGCAAAGAAAGGUUAAAGAGAGUAGGAUGUGGUGAGAAGAACAACCUCUGGGGCAACCAGCAUGCUGCAGACACAGGGUCUGAAGUUAGGAAGGUGGAGGUAGCUGUUUUUCAUCGCCUUCUGACUGGCUGCCACCUGGGGAUAGUCCACCAUGGCUGGAUCUGGGCAGGAUUUGAAGUAUUCACCAAACCAUGCUGUGUCGAGUCUCUGAAAACUACUUGGCAAGACUUUUCAGGGGUAAAGGAAGUUUUCUCUGUGGAAGUGAAGUUCCAUCAACAAUCAGAAGAGCCUAUAGAUAGGAAAUAUUACCUUUACACUCAACCAGACUGCCUCAGUUGUCUUGAGUUGACUACAGAUUUCAGCAUGUUCAAAGCAUAGCAUUUUUACCUCUGUUAUAAAUUACAGAAAUUAAUAUAUAUAUAUAUUCAAUUUUGAGUUUUUAAAAGAAAAUAGAUUUCAAACAAUGGCAUCACUUGGGGGGGUGUCUUUUUUUCUUAUAGUGUUGAAAUAAAAUGCUCAGAGAACUUCA